AUUGAACGCUGGCGGCAGGCUUAACACAUGCAAGUCGAGCGAGCGGCGGACGGGUGAGUAAUGUCUGUGAAACUGCCUGAUGGAGGGGGAUAACUACUGGAAACGGUAGCUAAUACCGCAUACCAUCAGAUGUGCCCAGAUGGGAUUAGCUAGUAGGUGGGGUAAUGGCUCACCUAGGCGACGAUCCCUAGCUGGUCUGAGAGGAUGACGAGCCACACUGGAACUGAGACACGGGCCAGAAUGAUACGGGAGGCAGCAGUGGGGAAUAUUGCACAAUGGGCGAAAGCCUGAUGCAGCCAUGCCGCGUGUGUGAAGAAGGCCUACGGGUUGUAAAGCACUUGCAGCGAGGAGGCGUUACUCGAAGAAGAAGCACCGGCUAACUCCGUGCCAGCAGCCGCGGUAAUUC
rnacentral:rRNA from 1 species